rnacentral:rRNA from 1 species
UGCCCUUGAGACGGGGAUAACUCCGGGAAACCGGAGCUAAUACCGGAUAACACAUAUCUUCGCAUGAUGAUAUGUUAGAAGGUGGCUUUUAGCUACCACUCAAGGAUGGGCCCGCGGCGCAUUAGCUAGUUGGUGAGGUAACGGCUCACCAAGGCGACGAUGCGUAGCCGACCUGAGAGGGUGAUCGGCCACACUGGGACUGAGACACGGCCCAGACUCCUACGGGAGGCAGCAGUGGUCA